UCAUUAAUUUUAGCUACCCAUUAUUAAUUAAUUAUCUUGCCAUUUAAUGUACGUCACUCCCAGUUCACAUUCAAAGGACAGGAUUUCAAUUGUUUAACUCAAUAACCUCUGUAUUGUUACUUUACAGAACAAUUUCAACAAGGUGCAAAAAAUCUAAAUGAAACAGUAUGGUGACAAUAAACAUCAGAUUGCCAUCUGAUCAGCACCAGUGAUGAUGCAGAGCAGUGAUUAAGGGCUAAGCUACUCUUAAUUAUUCAAUUUCAUAAAAUGUUCUGGUUUUGAUACAGCUCUUAUGACCUUGGUGAAAGUCAUAGGUGAAAAGAGAGUAUAGAAGAGAAGACAAUACACAUCCAUGAGGAACCCCAGUGCUAAGGGUGAGACUGGAGGAGGUGGCUGAGUUCAGUCAGACAGACUGUGGUCUGUUCAUAAGGAAGUCCAGGGUCCAGUUGCAGAGAUGUGUGCAAACUGUUGCACAGUCUGGGUGUGAAGGCCCAAAUGCUUCGAAACCUCUUACCUGAUGGUAGAAGAGUGAAGAGUGUG